GCCUACGGGGCGCAGCAGUGAGGAAUAUUGGUCAAUGGCCGGAAGGCUGAACCAGCCAAGCCGCGUGAAGGACGAAGGUGCCAAGCAUUGUAAACUUCUUUUGUCAAGGGACAAAAUCAGGCUCGAGAGCCUGACCGAGGGUACUUGAAGAAAAAGCAUCGGCUAACUCCGUGCCAGCAGCCGCGGUAAUACGGAGGAUCCGAGCGUUAUCCGGAUUUAUUGGGUUUAAAGGGAGCGUAGGUGGAUUGUUAAGUCAGUUGUGAAAGUUUGCGGCUCAACCGUAAAAUUGCAGUUGAAACUGGCAG
rnacentral:rRNA from 1 species